rnacentral:rRNA from 1 species
UAACCUGCCCCUGAAUUCGGGAUAACUCCGCGAAAGCGGUGCUAAUACCGAAUGUCGUCACAGGGACCGUGGUCCCUGGGAUGAAAGGUGACCUCUCCAUGGAAGUUGCCGUUCGGGGAGGGGCUCGCGUACCAUUAGCUUGUUGGUGGGGUAAUGGCCUACCAAGGCUACGAUGGUUAGCUGGUCUGAGAGGAUGAUCAGCCACACUGGCACUGAAACACGGGCCAGACUCCUACGGGAGGCAGCAGUGAGGAAUUUUGCGCAAUGGGGGAAACCCUGACGCAGCAACGCCGCGUGAGUGAAGAAGGCUUUCGGGUCGUAAAGCUCUGUCAAGUGGGAAAAACGUCUUCCCGUUAACAGCGGGAAGGCCUGAUGGUACCACUGGAGGAAGCACCGGCUAACUCCGUGCCAGCAGCCGCGGUAAUACGGAGGGUGCAAGCGUUGUUCGGAAUUACUGGGCGUAAAGAGCGUGUAGGCGGCAAGGUAAGUCAGGCGUGAAAGCCCUGGGCUUAACCCGGGAAGUGCGUUUGAAACUGCCUCGCUCGAGUAUGGGAGAGGAGAGUGGAAUUCCCGGUGUAGAGGUGAAAUUCGUAGAUAUCGGGAGGAACACCCGUGGCGAAGGCGACUCUCUGGACCAAUACUGACGCUGAGACGCGAAAGCGUGGGGAGCAAACAGGAUUAGAUACCCUGGUAGUCCUCGCCGUAAACGAUGAGCACUGGGUGUAGCGGGUAUUGACCCUUGGUGUGCCGUAGCUAACGCAUUAAGUGCUCCGCCUGGGGAGUACGGCCGCAAGGCUGAAACUCAAAGGAAUUGACGGGGGCCCGCACAAGCGGUGGAGCAUGUGGUUUAAUUCGACGCAACGCGAAGAACCUUAGCUGGGCUUGACAUCCCCUGACACCCCGGGAAACCGGGAUCGCCCUGCUUGCAGGGACACGGUUUCAGGUGCUGCAUGCCGGUUCUCAGCUCGUGUCGUGAGAUGUUGGGUUAAGUCUCGCAACGAAGCGCAACCCCUUUCUUUAGUUGCCAGUAUUCAGUUAGGCACUCUAAAGAGACUGCCUCGGAUAACUGGGAGGAAGGUGGGGAUGACGUCAAGUC